rnacentral:ncRNA from 1 species
AAAAGUUUAGUCCCAGCUUUAAUAUCAACUUUAAUUAGCCUUAUACAUGCAAGUCUCCGCCCCCCAGUGAUAAUACCAUUACAAUAAACAAAAUAGAACUGAUAUCAGGCACAACAUACGUUAGCCAGUAACAUCUAGCUCUUUGCCACCCCCACACGGGCCUGCAGCAGUAAUAAACAUUGAUUAUAAGCAUAAGCUUGACUCAGCCAUAAUUAAUAGAGUUGGUAUAUCUUGUGCCAGCCACCGCGGUUAUACAAGAAACUCAAGUUGAUAUAUACGGCGUAAAGUGUGAACUAUAUACUAAGAUUAAAAACCUACUAAGCCGUUACACGCAUUAGUAUAACCCACACUCAACAUAACGAAAGUGAUCUUAACCUCACGACCGCUAAAACACAAACUGGGAUUAGAUACCCCACUAUGCUUAGCCACAAAACUUGGAUAUUUACAUUAUCUCCCCGCCAGAAUACUACAAGCUACAGCUUAAAACUCAAGGGACUUGGCGGUGUCCUAAAUCCAUCCAGAGGAGCCUGUUCUAUAAUCGAUAAUCCACGUUCAACCUCACCACCAUUUGCCAACUCAGCCUAUAUACCACCGUCGCCAGCAUACCUUAUUGAAAGCAUUAAAGUAAGCAAGAAUGAUUACACAAAUAUGUCAGGUCAAGGUGUAGCAUAUAUGGUGGCAAGAAAUGGGCUACAUUUUCUUAAAAGAAAACCACGGAUAAUAAAAUGAAAUUAUAUUUUAAGGCGGAUUUGACAGUAAGAAAAGACCAUAAUACUAUUCUUAAACCGGCCCUAGGACACGCACACACCGCCCGUCACCCUCAUCAAAUUUUAAUUUUUCGACCAUUACCUAAUAUAACCGAACCUACUAUAUUCUAGACGAGGAAAGUCGUAACAUGGUAAGCGCACUGGAAAGUGCUCUUGGAUUAU